GUAGGUGAACCUGCGGAGGGAUCAUUACACAAUACGAAGGCGGGCUGGACAAACCCCCCUAGCUGGGCACUGCUUCACGGCGGUGCGCGGUUUGGGUGGCCGGCCCUGCUGAACUAUUCACCCGUGUCUUUUGCGUACCUCUUGUUUCCUGGGCGGGCUCGCCCGCCACCAGGACCAACCAUAAACCUUUUUGUAAUAGCAAUCCGCGUCAGUAAACAAUGUAAUCAAUUACAACUUUCAACAACGGAUCUCUUGGUUCUG
rnacentral:misc_RNA from 1 species